UGCGGGCGUGGCGGAACUGGUAGACGCGCCAGAUUUAGGUUCUGGUUCCUUUUAGGAGUGGGGUUCGAUUCCCUUGCCCGCACC
rnacentral:tRNA from 1 species